rnacentral:rRNA from 1 species
CCUACGGGAGGCAGCAGUGAGGAAUAUUGGUCAAUGGGAGGAAUCCUGAACCAGCCACGCCGCGUGCAGGACGACGGCUCUACGAGUUGUAAACUGCUUUUGUACCGGGGUAAAAUGCUCUACGAGUAGGGUUUUGAAAGUACGGUACGAAUAAGGAUCGGCCAACUCCGUGCCAGCAGCCGCGGUAAUACGGAGGGUCCGAGCGUUAUCCGGAUUCAUUGGGUGUAAAGGGUGCGUAGGUUGUUCUAUAAGUUAGCGGUGAAAUACCGAUGCUCAACUUCGGGGCUGCCGCUGAUACUGUAAGACUAGAGAUCGGAUGCGGCAGGCGGAAUGUGUGGUGUAGCGGUGAAAUGCAUAGAUAUUACGCAGAACACCGAUUGCGAAGGCAGGUUGCUAGGCCGGAACUGACGCUGAGGCACGAAAGCGAGGGGAUCGAACGGGAUUAGAUACCCUUGUAGUC